AUUGAACGCUGGCGGCAGGCCUAACACAUGCAAGUCGAGCGGAUGAAGGGAGCUUGCUCCUGGAUUCAGCGGCGGACGGGUGAGUAAUGCCUAGGAAUCUGCCUGGUAGUGGGGGAUAACGUCCGGAAACGGGCGCUAAUACCGCAUACGUCCUGAGGGAGAAAGUGGGGGAUCUUCGGACCUCAAGCUAUCAGAUGAGCCUAGGUCGGAUUAGCUAGUUGGUGGGGUAAAGGCCUACCAAGGCGACGAUCCGUAACUGGUCUGAGAGGAUGAUCAGUCACACUGGAACUUAGACACGGUCCAGACUCCUACGGGAGGCAGCAGUGGGGAAUAUUGGACAAAUGGCGAAAGCCUGAUCCAGCCAUGCCGCGUGUGUGAAGAAGGUCUUCGGAUUGUAAAGCACUUUAAGUUGGGAGGAAGGGCAGUAAGUUAAUACCUUGCUGUUUUGACGUUACCAACAGAAUAAGCACCAGCUAACUUCGUG
rnacentral:rRNA from 1 species